rnacentral:rRNA from 1 species
UUCCAGACUCCUACGGGAGGCAGCAGUGGGGAAUAUUGGGCAAUGGACGCAAGUCUGACCCAGCAACGCCGCGUGAAGGAGGAAGGCUUUCGGGUUGUAAACUUCUUUUAAGGGGGAAGAGCAGAAGACGGUACCCCUUGAAUGAGCCACGGCUAACUACGUGCCAGCAGCCGCGGCAAUACGUAGGUGGCAAGCGUUGUCCGGAUUUACUGGGUGUAAAGGGAGCGCAGACGGCAGUGCAAGUCUGGAGUGAAAGCCCGGGGCCCAACCCCGGGACUGCUCUGGAAACUGUACGGCUGGAGUACGGGAGGGGCAGGCGGAAUUCCUAGUGUAGCGGUGAAAUGCGUAGAUAUUAGGAGGAACACCGGCGGCGAAGGCGGCCUGCUGGACCGAAACUGACGUUGAGGCUCGAAAGCGUGGGGAGCAAACAGGAUUAGAUACCCCAGUA